UCGGGCAAUCCAGGGCUGCGUGGUGACGCUACCUGCCCGGCAUACGGCGGCCGGCGAGGGUCAACCCAGUUUUUUUUCGCUGUAGGGUCAAGGCAAGCAGUGAUUCACAGGAGGAGGGAACCACCCUCCCCCCCGGCUGCUUUCUUAGCGAACGCUCAGUAAGCCUGCGCAGGAGGCCGUUCUAUUUAUAACUGUGCCCGGGAGAAUGAGUGUGGGAUAUGCCUAAGUCCUUUGAGAACUGAUGUUAUGCUUUGGCAAAAAGGUGUUUGAGCAGCCCUAGAGAGGAUGUUCCUUCUUUAAAAAGAAAACAUUCCAUACAUACUGUAUCUUGCAGCGAGAACAAAAUGGCAGUGAGCAGAGUAAUUCUGUGAUGUUCUCACCGAAGACGCAGCGCAUGAUUCUUUGUAAGCUUGCUGUACCUUAGAGGAAAUUUGAUAAGACUCUCAGGAUCUGUACGAGUACUUUGCAGUUUUGUGGCAUCUUUGUUAAUAACAUCUCUUUGCAGUACAACUGGAAACCUUCCUUGAGAGGCAACAUGGCCUUAUGGGCUUCCCACACACCUGAGAGACAGUGUUGGAUAUAAAGGAAUUUUGAGAUACCAGGAUCAAGUAAAGAUAUCAAACUCAACCAGCAGUUUGCUCUAUUUCUCAGAAUUACAACUGAUUACAAAAGCAAGCUUCACAGAACAUUAUUUCAGUACUCAACACCCUUAUCACCAGUGUCUGUAAGCAGUGGCCAAAUUGAAUUGUAGUGCAUACAAAAAGGUCCAGCAGUAGAUCAAACAGUCACAUCAGCUGGUUCUGCUGAGUUCUACUGAAUGCUGAUUUGCCCUUUUAUGGAUUCCUUUUCAGAUAAGCCUGUCGCCUCCUAUGUCUAAAAACAGGCAAGUUCACUUUUGUGGUUAUUCCUGACUAGCUGAAUUCUCCUUAAACAGGAUGUUCACAUUUUAUACCUUAGCAUACUCUUAACUUAGCAUUCUGUGCUUCCUUCUGCAUAGGAACUAUAUUUAUAUUUAACCAAAACAGAAGUUUAGCUGAUCAUUUUCCAUUGCUGCUACUGCUGUCUUGCCUUGCACUCCAUUGUAUUUGUCACACAUUUAUGCUUCUCAUCCUCUUUACCCAUAACCCUACACAUAGUGCCUAUGCACCCCAGUCAUGGAUCAUGACCCAAUUGUACAAAUUUGUGUAAAAAAUACAUAUUGAAAAGAUGGUCUCUGUACCACAGAGCUUACAGACAUUGUUAUAGAACCAGAAGUAUGCAGUCUGUAACAUGGGUCUAACAUUAGCAAGUUUAUAUGCAAAAUCAUUUCAGUCACAAUGUUGUAUGAGUAUCAACUAGAUGUUCCUAAAAACAGUAAUAUUGUGAUGACCAAGUACAGUAGAAUGAAAAACAAACUCCAUGCAAGGAAGUUUUAUUUUAAAUUUGUGCUGUAUGUCUAGUUCCAUUUUCCUGGGAAAUAAAUAUUCUGUACAGUAUUACUUGGAUCGCAUCUACUUCAGACUCAGUUUGUAAUCACUCAGCUCUCCCAUUGGCAGUAGGAGUGUAGGCAGCUAUCAGGAAUGCUGACACUUUUUUUUGUAAAAAUAUAUAUUUCUAUAUAUAGAAGAGAAAUAUAUGCCCACACACUCACAUGCCUGUCACCAUCACCUUCAACUGUCACAAUCACGCAAAAGACUGCCUUGGCACCUCCCCUUUUCCCCCCACUCCCAUCCUAUCUCUUCUGCCUGUUUCCCCAAUCUUUUACUCAUCAUAAUCAUCAUCAUUGUCACCUCCAUCUUCAUUAUUGUCCUCAUUGUUGUUCUCUUUGGGGUCCUGCCUCUGAAUUGUCUGUGCAGGUCCCUUCUCCUCCAUAUGAUCUUUGUCAUGUCUUCCCCAUUUUCUUUCACUUUCAUGUGGUACAAAUGUGGUGGCUCACUCAAUCUCAUUUUGAUGCCAUCCUCAACUGAGAGGUUCUUGGGUCUUCAUGAGCAGGUUCCUAGUCUUCCAUUGGACAUUCCUGAAGCAGGAGAUGACCUGGUUGAAGUUGGCUGUUAGGGUCUCCAGUGUUUGGUCAGGUGACUGAACAGCACUGCCUCUCUGGUCAGGGUCUUGACCCCUGUCACCAUCCUAAGGAGUAAGUUCACUGUCCUCCACACCUCCCUGAUGUAUGGGCAGUACCAGAGGAGGUGAUCAAUCAUUUCCACUUUCCACUGGCAGGUUUCCCUGAGGCAGUUUGGUGGGCCUCUCUGCCUCAGUACCUGCAUGGGGAGUGCCUGGUGUGCCACCUGCCAGUUAAAGUUCCUGUGCUCCUUCUGUACAUCUUUGUGGAAGAUUCACUCCCACACAGCCUGGCAGCUGUUGCCAGGUAUUAAGUCCAUGUGUGACAAACUGUCCCUUGCCCUUACCACAUCUUGCAUCUUAAGGUGGUAUAUCAGGGUCACCAGGGCCUUGUUGUGCAUUUUGUGUUUAUUCUGGAAGUGGCUGCAGCAGGGCUCUGUUUAUCUGUCUCCCCAGCACUGCACACACUGGGUCCUCAUGGAUUCCUGCACCUGUAACAGACUUAAGGUGCUCGGUCAAGACUUUGGCCAUCAGUUUAUCGUCAAGGUUCAGGAGUGUUAUAGGUCA